UGGGGGAUAUUGCACAAUGGGCGAAAGCCUGAUGCAGCAACGCCGCGUGAGGGAAGACGGUUUUCGGAUUGUAAACCUCUGUCUUCGGUGAAGAAACAAAUGACGGUAGCCGAGGAGGAAGCCACGGCUAACUACGUGCCAGCAGCCGCGGUAAUACGUAGGUGGCAAGCGUUGUCCGGAAUUACUGGGUGUAAAGGGAGCGCAGGCGGGGAGACAAGUCAGCUGUGAAAACGAUGGGCUUAACCCAUAAACUGCAGUUGAAACUGUUUUUCUUGAGUGGAGUAGAGGUAUGCGUAAUUCCGAGUGUAGCGGUGAAAUGCGUAGAUAUUCGGAGGAACACCAGUGGCGAAGGCGGCCUACUGGGCUCUAACUGACGCUGAGGCUCGAAAGUGUGGGGAGCAAACA
rnacentral:rRNA from 1 species